CAAUACUCUCUACUGUAGCUUAUAGCUGGUCACUGUAAUCACUAGCAUAUAUAAAGCGAUUGGUAUUGAGAAAUGGCUUCCAAAAGCACAGCCUCACUUGCUCUCUUUUUGGCACUCAACCUUCUCUUCUUUUCCCUAGUCUCUGCAUGUGGUGGGGGCUGCCCUUCUCCUAAGCCAAAACCAACUCCAUCACCUUCCAAUGGAAAAUGUCCUAGGGAUGCACUUAAAUUAGGCGUAUGUGCCAAUGUGCUGCGUUCAUUGCUCAAUCUCACCAUUGGAAAACCUCCAGUGGAA
rnacentral:misc_RNA from 1 species